CUAUGUGAAUUGAGCAAUAAUUGCAAUAUAUCGUGGGCACAACGGUAGAAAGGCCCCUUUCAUCUGCCGUUCUUUCUUGGGCUGCAGAUACGCUGCAUGACGACCUAAAUCUUUUCCCUUGAGGGCGCUAGUUAUCCUCAACUUCCCAAGCAAGAGGUACUUUAUCGGUCUAGCAUCACAUAAUUUGGGGACAUGAUUUGGAUGAGAGAACAGGGAAACGUAUGAUGAGACGUGGCAGUUUUGAAAAAUGGGAGAUACGAGGAAGGCUUCAUAUUCUUUUCUCACCGUGCAAAAUAGGAUUUUCUCACCGUGCUACUGCCAUCCUCUUCUUAGAAAGAGAUCUUAUCUAAUAGCUAAGGGUCCCAC
rnacentral:lncRNA from 1 species